rnacentral:rRNA from 1 species
AGACGGGGGGGGCGAGCGUUGUUCGGAAUUACUGGGCGUAAAGGGCGCGCAGGCGGCUUGGGAAGUCUUGGGUGAAAGCCCCCAGCUCAACUGGGGAACGGCCUGAGAAACCACUAGGCUGGAGUGCUGGAGAGGGAAGCGGAAUUCCCGGUGGAGCGGUGAAAUGCGUAGAUAUCGGGAGGAACACCAGAGGCGAAGGCGGCUUCCUGGACAGACACUGACGCUGAGGCGCGAAAGCUAGGGGAGCAAACAGGAUUAGAAACCCUAGUAGUCC